rnacentral:rRNA from 1 species
AUUGAACGCUGGCGGCAGGCCUAACACAUGCAAGUCGAACGAGUGGCGGACGGGUGAGUAAUGUCUGGGAAACUGCCCGAUGGCGGGGGAUAACUACUGGAAACGGUAGCUAAUCCCGCAUACCAUCGGAUGUGCCCAGAUGGGAUUAGCUAGUAGGUGGGGUAAUGGCUCACCUAGGCGACGAUCCCUCGCUGGUCUGAGAGGAUGACCAGCCACACUGGAACUGAGACACGGUCCAGACUCCUACGGGAGGCAGCAGUGGGGAAUAUUGCACAAGGGGCGCAAGCCUGAUGCAGCCAGGCCGCGUGUGUGAAGAAGGCCUUCGGGUUGUAAAGCACUUUCAGCGGGGAGGCGUUACCCGAAGAAGAAGCACCGGCUAACUCCGUGCCAGCAGCCGCGGUAAUAC